UGAGAGCGCAAUUGAUGUCAG
rnacentral:piRNA from 1 species